GACGAACGCUGGCGGCGUGCUUAACACAUGCAAGUGGAGCGACGAACCGGGCUUGCCCGGGGCAGAGCCGCGAACGGGUGAGUAACACGUGGGUUACCUGCCGUGCUGACUGGGACAACCCGUCGAAAGACGGGCUAAUACCGGAUGUGCCCGCAAGGGGAAAGGAGGCUUCGGCUUCGGCAUCGCGAUGGGCCCGCGGGGCAUUAGCUUGUUGGUGAGGUAACGGCUCACCAAGGCUUCGAUGCUUAGCUGGUCUGAGAGGACGAGCAGCCACACUGGGACUGAGACACGGCCCAGACUCCUACGGGAGGCAGCAGUGGGGAAUCUUGCGCAACGCGCGAAAGCGUGACGCAGCAACGCCGCGUGCGGGAAGACGGCCUUCGGGUUGUAAACCGCUUUCAGUUGGGACGAAGCUUCUGCGGUUAAUACCCGUACGGAGUGACGGUACCUUCAGAAAAAGCCCCGGCUAACUACGUGCCAGCCGCCGCAGUAA
rnacentral:rRNA from 1 species